rnacentral:misc_RNA from 1 species
CUCAAAAAUUAUCAAGCCGUGGGGCUAAGCUUAGAGAUGGAUGAUAACUUAUAUGGUACGUAUUCGAUGAGACGAACUAAAGCUACGUUGAUAUAUGUCCGCACUAAAAAUAUACGUGCAGUGUAACUGCCUUUAGGCCUUUACCGCUCAGGCUUAUGCUGAAACUAAUAACAACUUAGUCAUACUUCUUGACCGAUGCUUGGAAAUGUUAGAAAGAGAAAAGCAAAGACUUACGGAGAUAUGUGGCUCCGUUCCCAGCCAUAUUAAAUUCGUUCAAGAUGACUAUUUCGGCUGUUGUUUCAUAGUGCUUCAUUCGAUUCAAUUAUCUCGAAUGGCUAAUACAUGUGUUUGAUGAGAAAGAACAAAUCAUAAUGGAAAUGGAAGGUGUAAAGUACCCGCAGGGGGGAUUUCUAGCAGUUUAGUGGCUAAUAACCGAAUAGGAAAAGCUUAUCUUACGGUUUUAAAAAAGUCAGGAGAGGUCGCGACUGUCCAUUCAAACGAGUCCCUGAUAAAUAGACUUCAGAAUAUGCCCUACCAAUAUGAUUU